rnacentral:rRNA from 1 species
UACGGGAGGCAGCAGUGGGGAAUAUUGCACAAUGGGCGCAAGCCUGAUGCAGCCAUGCCGCGUGUAUGAAGAAGGCCUUCGGGUUGUAAAGUACUUUCAGUCGUGAGGAAGGUGUUAAGGUUAAUAACCUUAGCAAUUGACGUUAGCGACAGAAGAAGCACCGGCUAACUCCGUGCCAGCAGCCGCGGUAAUAUGGAGGGUGCGAGCGUUAAUCGGAAUUACUGGGCGUAAAGGGCACGCAGGCGGUUAAUUAAGUUGGAUGUGAAAUCCCCGGGCUUAACCUGGGAAUGGCAUUCAAGACUGGUUAGCUAGAGUCUUGUAGAGGGGGUUAGAAUUCCAUGUGUAGCGGUGAAAUGCGUAGAGAUGUGGAGGAAUACCGGUGGCGAAGGCGGCCCCUGGGACAAAGACUGACGCUCAUGUGCGAAAGCGUGGGGAGCAAACGAGGAUUAGGAUACC